GAUGAACGCUGGCGGCGUGCCUAAUACAUGCAAGUCGAGCGAAUGGAUUAAGAGCUUGCUCUUAUGAAGUUAGCGGCGGACGGGUGAGUAACACGUGGGUAACCUGCCCAUAAGACUGGGAUAACUCCGGGAAACCGGGGCUAAUACCGGAUAACAUUUGAACCGCAUGGUUCGAAAUUGAAAGGCGGCUUCGGCUGUCACUUAUGGAUGGACCCGCGUCGCAUUAGCUAGUUGGUGAGGUAACGGCUCACCAAGGCAACGAUGCGUAGCCGCCCUGAGAGGGUGUUCGGCCACACUGGGACGGAGACACGGCCCAGACUCCUGCGGGAGGCAGCAGUAGGGAAUCUUCCGCAAUGGACGAAAGUCUGACGGAGCAACGCCGCGUGAGUGAUGAAGGCUUUCGGGUCGUAAAACUCUGUUGUUAGGGAAGAACAAGUGCUAGUUGAAUAAGCUGGCACCUUGACGGUACCUAACCAGAAAGCCACGGCUAACUACGUGCCAGCAGCCGCAGUAA
rnacentral:rRNA from 1 species